ACAGACAUCUGGGAGAAAGUUGUUUCAGGAAGAGACAACAGUAGGUGCAAAGUUCCAGACUCUUGAGUGAGGUUGGCAUGCUUCAGAAACCAAAAGAAGUCCACCGUGUCUGACCUACGGCAAGGGAAGUGGAUAUCUCAGGAGGCAUGUGGGAUCUCAACUCCCCAACAAGAGAUUGAGUCCACCACACCCCCUGCAUUGGAAGGUGAAGUCAACCACUGGACCACAGGUGGGAGUUCCAGCCCCCUCACGUUUCCAUCAGCACUUGGUAUGGACACUAUGGACUGUAGCCCGCCAGGCUCCUCUGUCC